UGAAUAUUUAAAUUUUAGGUUGACCAUAUUUUGUUUACCCCCAAUUCUGGACAGCCCCGUGACCAUUGAAGAGGAGUAUGUAGCAUAAAUAGAAAAAUAAUCGUGGAGGCAAACAAACAUCAAUCUGUCGUUCAAGCAAGGCUAAUAUCAGCCUCCAGAGAGGAAGGAUAAGUCAUGAUACACAAGCGAUGCCAAGAUCUUUGGGGGCAGCAAUGGAGAGGAUAAAAGCUCCGUCGUGCAGGGCUAGAAAACCAGCACGGUGACAGCUAUACUUCCCUCCCCCUCGCCCCCUCUCUGGGAUUCUUUCCGUAUUCAAGAAGCAAAUUGAAAUACAUCUGGAGAGAGACUGCCUUUGAAAUAGAGGAAGUGUUGGCUGUUCAUCUAAGGACUCAGAGGAGGUCAUCCUAAAGACUAAAGACACAACCUUGUGAGGACUAGGGAAGUCAUAGGUGUCUGACCCUAUGCUGAUAAAUAGGGUCUGCUGAUCUUUGUGCUUAAAUUUCAAAUAAAUUUUAUUCUGUU